AGCGGCGGACGGGUGAGUAACACGUGGGUAACCUGCCCAAGAGACUGGGAUAACACCUGGAAACAGAUGCUAAUACCGGAUAACAACACUAGACGCAUGUCUAGAGUUUGAAAGAUGGUUCUGCUAUCACUCUUGGAUGGACCUGCGGUGCAUUAGCUAGUUGGUAAGGUAACGGCUUACCAAGGCAAUGAUGCAUAGCCGAGCUGAGAGACUGAUCGGCCACAUUGGGACUGAGACACGGCCCAAACUCCUACGGGAGGCAGCAGUAGGGAAUCUUCCACAAUGGACGAAAGUCUGAUGGAGCAACGCCGCGUGAGUGAAGAAGGGUUUCGGCUCGUAAAGCUCUGUUGGUAGUGAAGAAAGAUAGAGGUAGUAACUGGCCUUUAUUUGACGGUAAUUACUUAGAAAGUCACGGCUAACUACGUGCCAGCAGCCGCGGUAAUACGUAGGUGGCAAGCGUUGUCCGGAUUUAUUGGGCGUAAAGCGAGUGCAGGCGGUUCAAUAAGUCUGAUGUGAAAGCCUUCGGCUCAACCGGAGAAUUGCAUCAGAAACUGUUGAACUUGAGUGCAGAAGAGGAGAGUGGAACUCCAUGUGUAGCGGUGGAAUGCGAAGAUAUAUGGAAGAACACCAGUGGCGAAGGCGGCUCUCUGGUCUGCAACUGACGCUGAGGCUCGAAAGCAUGGGUGGCGAACAGGAUUAGAUACCCUGGUAGUCCAUGCCGUAAACGAUGAGUGCUAAGUGU
rnacentral:rRNA from 1 species